rnacentral:rRNA from 1 species
AGGACGAACGCUGGCGGCGUGCUUAACACAUGCAAGUCACGGGGGCCCGCAAGGGCAACCGGCGAACGGGUGCGUAACACGUGAGCAACCUGCCGAUCUGUGGGGGAUAGCCGGGCUAACGCCCGGGUAAUACCGCAUACGGUUGCCGAGGGGAGUCCCUUGGCAAAGAAACCUCCGGGGCAGAUCGAGGGGCUCGCGGCCUAUCAGCUAGUUGGGGGGUAAUGGCCCACCAAGGCGACGACGGGUAGCUGGU